CCUACGGGAGGCAGCAGUGGGGAAUAUUGCACAAUGGGGGAAACCCUGAUGCAGCGACGCCGCGUGAAGGAAGAAGUAUUUCGGUAUGUAAACUUCUAUCAGCAGGGAAGAAAAUGACGGUACCUGACUAAGAAGCCCCGGCGAACUACGUGCCAGAAGCCGCGGUAAUACGCAGGGGGCAAGCGUUAUCCGGAUUUACUGGGUGUAAAGGGAUCGUAGGCGGCGAUGCAAGUCAGAAGUGAAAGCCAGGGGCUCAACUCCGGGACAGCUUUUGAAACUGUGUUGCUAGAUUGCAGGAGAGGUAAGUGGAAUGCCUGGUGUAGCGGUGAAAUGCGUAGAUAUUAGGAAGAACACCAGUGGCGAAGGCAGCUUACUGGACUGUAAAUGACGCUGAGGCUCGAAAGCGUGGGGAGCAAACAGGAUUAGAUACCCCAGUAGUC
rnacentral:rRNA from 1 species